UACAGAGGGUGCAAACGUUGCUCGGAAUUAUUGGGCGUAAAGCGCGUGUAGGCGGCCAGCUAAGUCGGUUGUGAAAGCCCAUGGCUCAACCAUGGAAGUGCGUCCGAUACUGGCAGGCUAGAGUUCUGACGAGGGUGGUGGAAUUCCCAGUGUAGCGGUGAAAUGCGUAGAUAUUCGCAAGAACACCAGUGGCGAAGGCGGCUCACUGGCCCGGUACUGACGCUGAGGUGCGGAAGCGUGGGGAGCAAAC
rnacentral:rRNA from 1 species